AAAAUCCAAGAAUGAAAUCUCAGAAUUGGGAGAGUAAAAGUUCAAAAGAAAGGAAAAGAAAAGAAAAGAAAAGCGAAAGAAAGAGAGAGAAAGAAAGCAAGCCUGAUUAUCUUGUUCACAUUCUGGUUCGCCUGGUUCAAAGGUUGAGGUUAAAAUAUUAUCCUAAAAAGCUUCUGAGGCCUCACCAGAAGAUGAACAAAUGUUGGUGCCAUGAUUGUACAGCCUGAAGAACCAUGAGCCAAAAUAAACGUCUUUUCUUUAUAAAUAA